GAGCAGAAGCGCUUCCACCAUCUUAGACUGUAUUGAUUAUUCUCUGCUCUCCACACAUGCCAGCUCUCUUUCUCUCCCCUUCUGUCCCUCCCUCCCUCCGUCCGUCUUUCUGUCUGUUCUGCCACCUUCUCUGCUCAGCGAUCAGCAUUUUCCGUUUGUGGCAGAUUACUGUAACGCUAUUGUACAACAACUUCCUGCCUCCUUCUGGCUCAGUCUCUAAAAACUGCAAAGCGGCGCAGCUCGCGGCUUUAAAACUUUCCUCCCCUCGGCCUCGAACUAGAGGAGCGCCAUGUGGAAUAAAAAAGGAGGAAGGGGGACAUAGCGGAACUAUUUCAGUGUAAUUUUUGCGAGCUGUAAACGGCUGAGAACUAAAGAGAGGACAACAUGCCUAGCAGGGACAAUGGGAGGAAAAAAAAAAGGACUCCAAGGACAGAUGACGAGGAAGCGAGGCAACAGAGGAGAAGAGUAGGGGAGAGCUCGCCAUGGGAAUGAGCUGGAAAUUAUGGGCCUAUUUGAUAUCAGACUUCAGAGUGGACAACCUACCCAAGGAGGGACGCGCCCUAACUGCAGCUAACAACUGGCUUUCUGGCAUCCCCUCAGCACAUUGUCCUGGAUCUGGGCCUUUCAUGUGACAACUCUGAAGUGGAACAUUUUGAAUGCAGUAAAAGACUAGAGAUUAACAGGGUGGACAACUAAGUUAACUUUUUUUUUUUGGCACAAUUAGAAACAAUGAAAUCUUCAAGAUUUUGAUCUCCAUGGUGAAAUGAUGAACAAUAAUUCAUUCCCACAUCAAACAAGUUCAAUGCAGAGAUUGCAGUAAAUAUCUGUAUUCCAAAAAAAGUCUUCUGUAGUUUGUGUUCUAAAUAAACGUUGCUCUGACAAUCCAAA